GCACCUCUUCACUGUAAACUGCAUUUUUCAAUGCACAAACGUCUGCGUCGUGCCGACAAUACGGCGCCUCAGCCGGUAAAGACACCAAAGCUGGUUGACGUGCAGCAACCGCUCUCUGCCCCUGUCGAACUUGGCGACGGGACUGCGCGCAGUCCCUAUCGUCUUCCGCUGCGGAAGACUCCGAACGCGUCCGGCUGUCUGCACUGCCCGACGCAUAGAUGCCACUGCGUGUGGUUUGGCGCGCAGCUAGAGCGCUGCUACGCGUCUCUCUCGUUGAAGCGGGAGACGGAGCGCAGCAAGAAGCGUGAACUCUGCGCCAAGUCUAUCCUGCCCCCGUUCGUCACUCGACUCAUUCGCAUUGCCAACGUGGCUUCCGGGGAAACAUUUUAUGAUCUAGGUUGCGGAAAUGGCAGCGUUCUUUUCCAGGUGGCCGCCUUGACAGGUGCGCGGUGUGUAGGGGUGGAGAUCAACCCCCACAACGCGGAGCUCGCGAACGCAGCGUGGGUGUUUUUGCGACCCAUCUUCGAGACGCAGUUCAGGCGCGAACUCUCAGUGGAGAUUGUGUGUGCUGACUUUUGCACUCUCCUCCGCGAUGCUGUGUACUUCCCUACGCCGUGCGUCAUCUGGGCGGCGAACCUGUUGCUUCCCAGGCCGGUCAAUCACUACCUCUCGGAGCGGCUGCGCAGUGUGCCGCGUGGGACGCGCAUAAUGUGCUUCGAAGACAUGUACCCGCACUCUCGCUCCCUAGCCCGCCUACGUGACCCUGACGCGUUCGAAAAGUUCGACAUGGUGGAUUAUGAGUGGCAGCCGGACAGCGUGGAGUGGUGCUCCAACACUGGCCGUUUUUUCCUGUAUGUGAAGCGCACAUGACGUACUUGUUUUGUCUCUGCACGUGUUUAUGUCGUAAGCUCGACAUCAUUUUCGGGUAUUGUGACGUGUGCAGCUACCCUUGCUGCUGCUCGCGUUCUUCGUGCUUUUCUUUCUUUUUUUUUUACCAUCACCCAUAGACUUCGGGAAGAGAGACACAUGUUUGCGCCGGUGUCGUGCGCAUGUGCGGUGAGGUUACUAAAAGACAUGUACGAGGCUGCAAGGGGCACACGCCGACUAGUCUCGUCUUGUCUAUGCCUCACAAUGCCUCAUCAUCGUGCCGCUCAGUAAAACCACCGUUUGCUCUCUUUAGAAACAAACUCCUUGUACACGUUCUCCUUCCUACGAGGCCUCCUUAUCAACGAUGACACCCACAUGAGCACGCAUUGCGCGGUAGUGCGCAUGCUGAUGGCCGUGAAUGGGCGGGCGUGGCGGCUUUUUGGCCAACCACCUCCGUUUUUCCGUCUUGUAUAAUGCGGACACCUGAUCAUUUCCCCCUUUGACAGGAAGCUGUCUUGUCCUCACGGAACGAUG
rnacentral:misc_RNA from 1 species